rfam:Gossypium raimondii Chr02_contig_1478, whole genome shotgun sequence.
UGUUAAAGAUGUUAUUCAUUUUUAGGUUAAAAACUUGGCAGUUGCACGUUUUCUGUCACUUGUACCUCGUGUUGUUAUACAGGGACAAGUUUUAGUAGUAAAAAUGGAUGAAAUUUUUAACA